ensembl:lncRNA
GUGAAGAGCCGAGAAGUUUAAUCGCCUACGACGCAAACUGUGGUUUUAAACCUCUAUAGAUGAGGUUCAAGUAGUGAUUUCUGUGGAAGAAAAGGCCAAGACAAAUCAGGUGUGCAGCAAAUACAGUUGCCUACUCGAGGGCAGGCUGCACAUGCGAACUUGUCACUGUUUUUUUUCCUCCUUCUCUGUAUGGUUGUGUUUUGUUGGUUUUAGCAGGUCACCGUUUUUAAUUAUUUUUGUUGUUUUAUUUCGGGUUUUGUUUAUUUUUAUUGGGUUGGUGCAAUACUAAGCGGGCAACGUGCAAUCCCUGAGUGGGGCUCAUACCUCGGGGGAAUGAGGAUUUUUUAGUGGUGCUCUGUGUGUGGAUUUGCCGUGAUUAAGGUUUAUUAAGAGUGCUUUUGUAUUACCACCGUCUAUUGCCUGAACUAGCACUUAGUGCAUGCUAUAAGUGUUCGGUUGGGCCUUUUUAUGUUUGAGGUGGAUUUGUCUCUUUUAGAGUGACGAGCACCUGGGACCGCCAAGGAGGA